rnacentral:rRNA from 1 species
UUACCGAGUGUAGGGUUCCUAGCGAGCCCAACCUCCCACCCGUGUUUACUGUACCUUAGUUGCUUCGGCGGGCCCGCCAUUCAUGGCCGCCGGGGGCUCUCAGCCCCGGGCCCGCGCCCGCCGGAGACACCACGAACUCUGUCUGAUCUAGUGAAGUCUGAGUUGAUUGUAUCGCAAUCAGUUAAAACUUUCAACAAUGGAUCUCUUGGUUCCGGCAUCGAUGAAGAACGCAGCGAAAUGCGAUAACUAGUGUGAAUUGCAGAAUUCCGUGAAUCAUCGAGUCUUUGAACGCACAUUGCGCCCCCUGGUAUUCCGGGGGGCAUGCCUGUCCGAGCGUCAUUGCUGCCCAUCAAGCACGGCUUGUGUGUUGGGUCGUCGUCCCCUCUCCGGGGGGGACGGGCCCCAAAGGCAGCGGCGGCACCGCGUCCGAUCCUCGAGCGUAUGGGGCUUUGUCACCCGCUCUGUAGGCCCGGCCGGCGCUUGCCGAACGCAAAUCAAUCUUUUUCCAGGUUGACCUCGGAUCAGGUAGGGAUACCCGCUGAACUUAAGCAUA